AGGAUGAACGCUGGCGGCGUGCUUAACACAUGCAAGUCGAACGGUGAAGUGAGGAGCUUGCUCCUUGCGGAUCAGUGGCGAACGGGUGAGUAACACGUGAGUAACCUGCCCUUGACUCUGGGAUAAGCGUUGGAAACGACGUCUAAUACCGGAUACGACCUCCGAAGGCAUCUUCUGGAGGUGGAAAGAAUUUCGGUCAAGGAUGGACUCGCGGCCUAUCAGCUAGUUGGUGAGGUAAUGGCCCACCAAGGCGACGACGGGUAGCCGGCCUGAGAGGGUGACCGGCCACACUGGGACUGAGACACGGCCCAGACUCCUACGGGAGGCAGCAGUGGGGAAUAUUGCACAAUGGGCGCAAGCCUGAUGCAGCAACGCCGCGUGAGGGACGACGGCCUUCGGGUUGUAACCUCUUUUAGUAGGGAAGAAGCGAAAGUGACGGUACCUGCAGAAAAGCACCGGCUAACUACGUGCCAGCAGCCGC
rnacentral:rRNA from 1 species